UCAUUCUGACCCAUUUAUCCUAGCGUGCCAAGCUUCACAAGUUUUUUACUUGAAUGAUACCAAAUUGGGUAGUAGUUGGCGAGUGGUGCAACAUAUGACGCAUAGAAACAUGUAUGAUAUUCCUACAGACACAGAGAAAGUGCAUGAAGAAAAUGAAGAAGAUAAUGGUGAUGCGGUAUACCAAGAAAGUGAAUGCAUUGGGGUUAAUGCAACUGUUCAACAAGAAAAUGAUGAAGACUUAACUUUGUUACAUAGAGAUGGUGUGCCAGCAAUAGAUUUGGAGGACUUCAUACCUGUUGAUGAUGUAUAUGUGCAACUUGAUGAAAGUAUGUUCAUCAAUGAUGAUUUGUCUAAUGAGGAAUGGGAUACAGAUUCCAACAAUGAAGAAGAAACAUAUAGUGAUGACGAUGUUUCAAGCUCAGAUCAGGAAAAAGAUUUAUCUAGCAAUGAUGAAUCUAUUGGUGAUCUUAGGGAUGAAGAUUAAGUUGAGUUUUGAUGCAGGUUAAAAUGUCUCAUACCUUGGGCUACUGAUGAUGUUAAGGGGAGAUACUUUUCAUUGCAAAAUUGGUUGUAUAUCUUCUUAAGGAAUUUGUCAUUAUUUUAUUAUUAUUAGAGAGAGUAGAUUUGAAUUUAAAUUAUGUAUGUGAUAUAAAACUUGUGUAUUGUUUUUCCUUAUUAGUAGUUAUUGUUUGAGUAGUUGUUAUGCCUAUAUGAGUAUUUGUGAUUAAAAAUUUGUGAUGUGUGGAAAUAUGGUUUAUUAAAGUCGGAUUAUUAUGGUAGCAACCUAAUUGUCCUUAUCAUGAGUUCAUCUUUUUUGGCCCAAUUUAGAACUCCUGUUUAUAACAUGCAAAUAACACCUUGGCUUCUACAUCAUGGCAAUCCAUUUGGCUAAAUCUAAUUCACAAAUGGCCAGCGUGUGAUCCUUGUAAUAGAUCCAGCUGCUUGACCCACUCAUACUAUGAAACUUCCUGAUUUAUUUGCAAAAUAUACUGCACAUUUGUCUGGUAUUAGAGCACAUUGUUUAUGUGUCAUUUUACAAUUUAACAAGUGCUUGCACUUUUGGAACUCAUUGGUAUGUUUGUUUGUUUGGAUAGGAGAUUGAGAAUGAGAAACUUAAGUUGGAACAUGUUUAGCUUUCAGAGGAGAAUAGUGGGUUAUGUGUGUAGAAUAAAAAAUUGGCUGAAGAGGCUUUUUUAAGCAAAAGAACUAGCUUCGGCUGUUGUUGUGGAGUUGAACAAUUUGGCUGGUGAAGUGUUAAAGCCCUCCAAUAUUUCGGUUUCGGGUCUUCUAGUCUUCAAAGGCUGUUAUGCUGAAAGUACCAAUGGUAGUUUGUCUUGAAGGCACAAACGUGAUUAGAAAAGAGCACGACUUCACUCUUUUGUUCAACUUCUAAGUCCAAGGCGUUUACCAGACACUAUGUGAAAGAAACAAAGUUUUUAUUUUUAUUUUUUAUAGAAGAAGAAACUAAACUCAAAGUUUGACACUUCAACUCUGGGGAGUGUCAAAGUUCUCAUCUUUCCUGGUUGUGUUAAAUUGAGGUCCUUUUGAUGAUCUCUCUUCAUUUUACCUUCUGGGUAUUCCUUAAUUUUUGUAAACAAGUUGUGGGUAUCUUUGAAAAUUAGCAGCUGUUUCAUGGUUUAGUUGUGGGUCUCUGUGUCUUAGAGUUUCAUGGGUUUUGAAUGAUUUUUGGAGUUUUUGUGUGUUUUGGGUGUAACUGAUUGGUGAAUUGUAAAAAGGGUCUUAAUUUAAUUUGAGUUAUGGAGUACUUUUUAAAA